CAAUGUUUAUCGCUACAACGCGUGUUCCGGAGCCACGCAAUGGAACAAAUAAGUUGAAAACCAGCCGCAAGUACGAGAGUGGCCGUGCCUGUCAUGCCAAGGUAUAAAUGGACCUUUAACCCUCUGAUAUGUGCCUACCACACCGUGCCACAUCAUAGGUCUUCCCCUCGAAUUGCUCUGCUAAUUAAUUAUGUAUACAUACGCGGCACUGGACCUUGGUCGUCUUCCUCGUAAAGCUUCACUAUCGCAUGUUUCAGUAUAUUAACACUUGAUGUCCGACUAAAACAAAUAUUCCCAGGCCUAGCUUUCGCUAUAAUCAUCUCUGCAAGCGACAAUUGUCUCGUUCUUGGGCUACGCUGGAGAG